GAAAACUCCAACCAGGCGCAUCAUCCAGCAGCGGUGAUGUGUGACCAGCAGCGUCUUCGGUUGACGAAGUUUUC
rfam:Sugiyamaella lignohabitans strain CBS 10342 chromosome B, complete sequence.